rnacentral:tRNA from 1 species
GCUCAUCCAUAAACCGGUUACUGGUACAAAUAACAUAAAGAAAUGUAACCAACGUUUAUUGGAAAAAGCAACCCCAAAGAUUUGAGACCAAAAGCGGUUAGCGGUGACCAUUGAAUAAGUUUCUUCAGCUUGAGUUGGGUUAAAGGCACGGAAUGUAUUUGCACCAUCACCAUCUUCAAAUAAAGUAUUUUCUACAGUAGCACCAUGAAUAGCGCAUAGCAGAGCAGCGCCCAAUACGCCGGCAACUCCCAUCAUAUGAAAUGGGUUCAGCGUCCAGUUAUGAAACCCUUGGAAAAAGAGGAUGAAUCGAAAUAUAGCUGCUACACCAAAACUAGGCGCAAAAAACCAACCAGACUGGCCUAAUGGAUAAAUCAGGAAUACAGAAACAAAAACAGCAAUUGGAGCAGAGAAUGCGAUUGCAUUAUAAGGUCGCAAUUGCACAGAUCGAGCAAGUUCAAAUUGACGUAACAUAAAACCUAUUAGUCCAAAAGCACCGUGGAGAGCAACAAAAGUCCACAAACCACCUAAUUGACACCAACGAGUAAAAUCUCCUUGUGCUUCAGGACCCCAUAAUAAUAACAAAGAAUGUGCUAAACUAUUAGCAGGAGUAGAAACUGCGGCGGUUAAGAAGUUGCAGCCUUCCAAAUAGGAACUCGCCAAUCCAUGGGUAUACCAUGAGGUUACAAAGGUUGUACCUGUGAACCAACCCCCUACGGCGAAAUAGGCACAAGGAAAGAGCAAUAGACCGGACCAACCUACAAAAACGAAACGGUCCCUCCGUAACCAGUCAUCCAUAAUAUCAAAUAAAUCAUUUUCGUCUUUGGUAAAUUUACCAAGGGCUAUAGUCAUAGUGAUCCUCCUAUUCAACUACUUCAACCAUUUCCGAACACCUCAUAGCAUUUUCAGGGCCUUUGAAACUUCUAUCAUUUAUGUAUGAUUUGAUUUUUCGUACACUGCCCCUUCUAAUUUCUUUUCUAAUGGGUUUCGAAGAAAAAAAUUCUUUAUCGGUCUAUAACCCGAUUUAGGUAAAUUCAUGAAUUCAAUUCGGUUAUUCCUUCUUAUAGUCUUAAUAACCGCACGAAUCAUGAAUUUUUUUAUGACUCAUCAAUCAGAUAGAUUAAUUUUUUGAAAGAACUGUUCAAGGAAUAAGUGAUCCCCCUCUCCUUACUAGUUGAUCCUCAGACUUACUUCUCUCAUUCUAUCAAACUAAUCUUAUUCUUGGAUCUUGUUCAUGAGAUUUCUAAAAAUCAAUAUUUUUACGUAUUCUUCUAAUUUCUAUGUGCAUUAAAUUGCUAUAGUAUCCUAUACUUUAUUAUUUUAUACUUUAUUUUUUCUCGCCAUCUUUCUUUUAUUUCCCUUUUGCCAUUUUUUGUUAUAUUUCUUUUUCCUUCAGAUAAAAAAACCAGAAUAUUUCGCAGGUCAAAGCAAGAAAGACACUUCGAAUAUUUUUUCUAUUUACUUUAUAUCUUCAGAAAAGAAGAAAGAGAAUUUUCCUAUUAUUAAAUUCAAUACACUAUUCAAUAAAUAGAAAACUUUAAAUGAAAGUAUUAGAAAAUGAAAUUUCUCACACUUAUUCUACAUUACAUUGUCGGAAAAAAAUAUUGUAUGCAUCGAUAUGAAAAUAUUUAGUACAUGAAGCCAUGAUCUGAUAUAUAUAUCAAUCUUAUUAUAUAUAAAUCUCAUAUAGGUAUAUAUAUAUAUAUCAAUAUAAAUUGAUUUUGUGUUCUGGAAUCAAAGAAAGAUAUUUUAAAAGUCUCUUCUAUGUCUUAUGUUAUGACUUCGAAUAAACUUUUCUAUGGAGGAAGGGAAUAGUGAUUUAUUCCUAUAGAAUAACUAGGAGCAAGAAGCUUUAAUCAGAAAUAUCGACAGAUUUUUUCGGAGUCCAAAGAAAAAGAAAUAUGAAAAUGAAAGAAAAAGAAAAACUACUGUUUCAAUUUCAUCUAUAUCGUAUAUCGAAUUUUAAUAUCAGAAUAGUAGAUAUAGUCAUGAUGCAAUAGGUUAGGUCCACUUACUUUUUCUUUUAUUGAUUCCUAAUCUAAUUUUUAGAAUUGAUUUGAUUGGAAUAGUGGAAAAUAAGAAAAUUUGGCGAUUUAAGAGCCAAUUUAUCAUUAUUCAUUAUAAUAUACUAAACAAAUGUUCAACUUUAUAACUAUAUUUAUAACUAUAAUUAAAUGUUUAUAGUUUAUAGUUAUAAUUAAUAUUAUAGUUAUAAUUAAUAUUAAUUUAAUAUAGCAUUAUUAUGAUAGUAUUAAUGUGGUAUAAAUCAUUAUAAUGUUAAUUUUUAAAAAUUUCUAAUUUUAUUUUAGAAUUAAUUAUAGAGUUUCUUACUUUUUUUAUUACAAAUAUCAACAAUAUUUCUAUUCCCUCUUCAAAUAAGAAUACUACCGCUGGGUUUUAUGAAAAAAGGCCAAAGCCAAAGCCCCUUAUCGGAUUUGAACCGAUGACUUACGCCUUACCAUGGCGUUACUCUACCGCUGAGUUAAAAGGGCCCCUUUGAUUCAAUUCCUGAAUGAGCCGCUAUGCGGAUAAGAUAGAUCUAUGGAAAUAGAUUAGAAAUCAAAUUUCUAUUCUAUAAAGUAAAUAAAUAGAUUCUAUAUAUAUAUAUAUUAUAUAUAAAGAUAUAUAAAGUAAAUAAAUAUAUUAUAUUCUAAUUUUUUAUAUUAUAUAUUAUAUAAUUAUACUAAGUAUAUUUAAGACUAAGUAUAUUAAAGUAUAUUAUAGUAUAUUAAAGUAUAUUAUAAAUUAAUAUAUAAGUAUAUUAUACUAAGUAUAGGGUAUAGGGAGUAGACUCAUAGUAGUUCAUUCAUAAGUGAGAGAUUUGAUUUGAUUUACCCAGUGAGGAAAGGCUAAACUAGUGAAUAUAGGUAAAAAGUGGUUUAUUGAUAUUGAAUUUGAUAAAUAUCAAUGUAAUGAAUUUUUCAAGGUCGAACCGAAACCUAAUUGAAUUGACCACCAUCAGAACGAAAUACAUUUGAUUGAUACAUGUAUUUAGCAAUUCAACAUAUAUCCAAGAUAUUUCAUCGAAUCACUGAUGAAAAGACUCUAUUUGCCCCCCGAACCAAAUUCUUAAAAAAAAAAAUUAAUAAAUAAUAAAAUAAUUAAUUUAAAUAUAAUUAAUUUAAAUAAAAUAAUUAAUUUAAUUUUAAUAUAAAAUAAUAAUUAAUUUAAAUAAAAUAAUUAAUUUAAUUUUAAUAUAAAAUAAUAAUUAAUUUAAAUAAAAUAAUUAAUUUAAUUUUAAUAUAAAAUAAUAAUUAAUUUAAAUAAAAUAAUUAAUUUAAUUUUAAUAUAAAAUA